GUGCUCACUUCAGCAGCACAUAUACUAAAAUUGGAAAGAUACAGAGAAGAUACAUGGAUAACAUGCAAAUUUGUGAAGUGUUCUAUAUUUUU
ensembl:snRNA U6 U6 spliceosomal RNA